AGAUGUUCUGGAAUCCUAUUUCCCAUGCUGUUAAAUGAAGAAACUGAAGAUCUGAAUGAUAAACCAUCCUGUGUUUUUGCAACAAGAAGUCUGGUACCAGUGGCAGAGGCUCCAUUAGUUCUCUUGACAGAAGAGAAGAGACAUUCAGGAAGAAGGAGGGAUCUGGUCAUGACUAUAACAGUGCCUUCAAGUGGUUUAGUUCUCACCAUGCUCAGGUCAGAUCUCACAGGAAGCAACUAGCCAGUGACUAAACAGAGAAUAGAGACUCCAUUAGCAUUUCAGGGAUGAAACAGGUAUUGAAGAGGUGAAACAAACUCUUUUGAAAGCCUGUGAGGUGAGUAUG